UCCUGAGAAGUCCUCGUGUCGCACCAAUUUUUUUUCAAACGGGUCGUUCGACGCUACGCGCCUCUGGAAUUAGGGUCCGCUGGUUUAUACGCAAAUGUGACUCAAGAAGCAGGGGCAUUUUAAUCGAUAUUAGAACGAGAAGGAGAGAUGAAGUGUGAACGCACAAGGAAACAAAUGACGGAGGGGGAAGAAAGGAGAAGGAGUGU
rnacentral:lncRNA from 1 species